rnacentral:lncRNA from 1 species
GUCACCGGCAGGCGGCGCUGCGGUGCGCGAGGCCUCGCACCUGCACGGGAAGCAGCGGAGAGGACGCAGGGCAGCAGGACUCCCUGGUCAGGGCCCCUGGGGCAGAUGCCGGAUUUGAGUUCUGACACUGUCACUUGCCAGCCGGCGACCUUGGGCAGGUGACUGUCAAGCGUCAGUGUUCCAUCUGCGAAAUGGAUGCAGGAGGCACGCAGAGAAGAGUUGAUGUUGGUGAGGUGCUGAGGGAGGCGGGGCCGCAGGGGCAGGGGGCGAGCCCUCCUUCAGCCCUCCCCCUAAGGGACAGGAGCUUUGUAGAGGAGGGCCAAGAGGUCAGUGCUACAGUAACAGAACCUUUGGUCCAGAGCCUGGGAUGUUGCCUUUUGCCCACUGGAAUUCCCAUCUUGGAAGAGUAAGCGCAGGGGAUUGUCCAGACAGCCAGGAGGCCAGCGAAGCCAAGUCCUUCAGUACAGCCUGGGAGCCUCCAGGAAGCUGUUAGGAGUUGCCAUGAUGGGUGCAUUUGGACUCACAGAAUCUGCCUUCCAAUCUCAGUGCUGCUUCUACUCCUUUGCUACCUUAGGUCUUUGAAGACAGGUCCAUACCUUGGGUGUUUGUAUUUGGACAACCACAGACAUUGCCAAGAAAUGUAUCUGUUCUACUUGCACACCUUCACCACCUGGAUGCUGCUUGAGGACACAGAUCUGGUCCAUCAGAUUUCUCUCUGUACUCCUCUCUAUAUUUCGCCAUAUUUGAUAUAGACCCAUCAAUGGCUCCCUAGAAUAAAAUCUCAACUCUUCACUGUGCCCACAGCCCCAGUGACCUUGCCACUUCCAUCAGAGCCCUCACACCAGUGCCCAGACAUACAGACUGACCUCCUGACCAUCCCCCAGAUGUGCUAAGGCCGGUUCUGCUUCUGGACUUCUGAACAGACAUGUUUGGUAAACCCAAACAUUUCAGAUGGUGAAUAGCUCUGAAAGCAAAGUAAGACAGGGUAGGGCAGGAAGGACUUCCAGCAAAGUCACCCCAGGCUGGCCCCUUUC